rnacentral:rRNA from 1 species
AAAGUAGCUUGCUACUGGACCUAGCGGCGGACGGGUGAGUAAUGCUUAGGAAUCCGCCUAUUAGUGGGGGACAACAUCUCGAAAGGGAUGCUAAUACCGCAUACGUCCUACGGGAGAAAGCAGGGGACCUUCGGGCCUUGCGCUAAUAGAUGAGCCUAAGUCGGAUUAGCUAGUUGGUGGGGUAAAGGCCUACCAAGGCGACGAUCUGUAGCGGGUCUGAGAGGAUGAUCCGCCACACUGGGACUGAGACACGGCCCAGACUCCUACGGGAGGCAGCAGUGGGGAAUAUUGGACAAUGGGGGGAACCCUGAUCCAGCCAUGCCGCGUGUGUGAAGAAGGCCUUUUGGUUGUAAAGCACUUUAAGCGAGGAGGAGGCUACCGAGAUUAAUACUCUUGGAUAGUGGACGUUACUCGCAGAAUAAGCACCGGCUAACUCUGUGCCAGCAGCCGCGGUAAUACAGAGGGUGCAAGCGUUAAUCGGAUUUACUGGGCGUAAAGCGCGCGUAGGUGGCCAAUUAAGUCAAAUGUGAAAUCCCCGAGCUUAACUUGGGAAUUGCAUUCGAUACUGGUUGGCUAGAGUAUGGGAGAGGAUGGUAGAAUUCCAGGUGUAGCGGUGAAAUGCGUAGAGAUCUGGAGGAAUACCGAUGGCGAAGGCAGCCAUCUGGCCUAAUACUGACACUGAGGUGCGAAAGCAUGGGGAGCAAACAGGAUUAGAUACCCUGGUAGUCCAUGCCGUAACGAUGUCUACUAGCCGUUGGGGCCUUUGAGGCUUUAGUGGCGCAGCUAACGCGAUAAGUAGACCGCCUGGGGAGUACGGUCGCAAGACUAAAACUCAAAUGAAUUGACGGGGGCCCGCACAAGCGGUGGAGCAUGUGGUUUAAUUCGAUGCAACGCGAAGAACCUUACCUGGUCUUGACAUAGU